rnacentral:rRNA from 1 species
UACGUAGGGAGCAAGCGUUGUCCGGAAUCAUUGGGCGUAAAGAGCGUGUAGGCGGCCAGAUAAGUCCGCUGUGAAAUCUCGAGGCUCAACUUCGAGCUGUCGGUGGAAACUGUCUGGCUAGAGUCCGGAAGAGGAGAAUGGAAUUCCUGGUGUAGCGGUGAAAUGCGCAGAUAUCAGGAAGAACACCCGUGGCGAAGGCGGCUCUCUGGGACGGUACUGACGCUGAGACGCGAAAGCGUGGGGAGCAAACAGG